UCAGGUUGGCUGAGCUACACUUAGACUUGGAUAUUCGUUUGAUGGAUGUACUUGGUGUAGUCAUGUUACUGGUUGGAUCUAAUCAAGAUUUUUAAUGGAGGUGCCACAUGCCUGCUAAAGAGAUGCUUGAGGUAAAACCUAAUUGCUAGAAAUUAUUUGAUGAAAUAAUUGAUUAAGAACCUACCCAUGGAUGCACUAGGAUUGGCCGUGUCAUACUUGGGUUCGAAUGCAGUCUAUGUGGAUUC
rnacentral:lncRNA from 1 species